GACGAACGCUGGCGGCGUGCCUAAUACAUGCAAGUCGAGCGCAGGAAGCUGACGGAACUCUUCGGAGGGAAGGCAGUGGAAUGAGCGGCGGACGGGUGAGUAACACGUAAGGAACCUGCCUCAAGGAUUGGGAUAACUCCGAGAAAUCGGAGCUAAUACCGGAUAGUUCAACGGACCGCAUGGUCCGCUGAUGAAAGGCGCUCCGGCGUCACCUUGAGAUGGCCUUGCGGUGCAUUAGCUAGUUGGUGGGGUAACGGCCCACCAAGGCGACGAUGCAUAGCCGACCUGAGAGGGUGAUCGGCCACACUGGGACUGAGACACGGCCCAGACUCCUACGGGAGGCAGCAGUAGGGAAUCUUCCACAAUGGACGAAAGUCUGAUGGAGCAACGCCGCGUGAGUGAUGAAGGUUUUCGGAUCGUAAAACUCUGUUGUAAGGGAAGAACACGUACGAGAGGGAAUGCUCGUACCUUGACGGUACCUUACGAGAAAGCCACGGCUAACUACGUGCCAGCCGCCGCCGUAA
rnacentral:rRNA from 1 species